rnacentral:misc_RNA from 1 species
UAUGGGUGAGUCGAUCCU